rnacentral:rRNA from 1 species
AUUGAACGCUGGCGGCAUGCCUAACACAUGCAAGUCGAACGGUAACGGGCCUAGGGGUGCCGACUAGUGGCGACCGGGGGAGUAAUACAUAGGAACGUGCCCGAUCCUGGGGGUUAGUGGGGCAAAAGCUUUGCUAAUAUCGGAUACGACCUAAUGAUGAAAGCAGGGGACCGCAGGGCCUCGUGCGGCCUUACCGGACGAUGGCGGAUUAGGUAGUUGGUGGGGUAAAGGCUUACCAAGGCGACGAUCCGUAGCUGGUCUGAGAGGAUGAUCAGCCACACUGGGACUGAGACACGGUCCAGACUCCUACGGGAGGCAGCAGUGGGGAAUAUUGGACAAUGGGCGCAAGCCUGAUCCAGCCAUGCCGCGUGCGGGAAGAAGGCCUUCGGGUUGGAAACUGCUUUUGUUCGGAAAGAAAAGCAGUAGUUUAAUACACGGGGGUCAUGACGGUACCCAAAGAAUAAGCACCGGCUAACUACGUG